GGGGAUGUAGCUCAGUGGUAGAGUACUUGCCUAGCAACCAAAAGUCUUUGGGUUUGAUUUCUAGCACCACCG
rnacentral:tRNA from 1 species